GCCUGGGUGGCUCAGUAGGUUGAGCGUCCAGCUUCAGCUCAGGUCAUGAUCUAAUGGUUCGUGGGUUCAAGCCCCACAUCGGGCU
rnacentral:tRNA from 1 species